rnacentral:rRNA from 1 species
GUGGGGAAUUUUGGACAAUGGGCGCAAGCCUGAUCCAGCAAUGCCGCGUGCAGGAAGAAGGCCUUCGGGUUGUAAACUGCUUUUGUACGGAACGAAACGGUCCGGGUUAAUACCCUGGGCUAAUGACGGUACCGUAAGAAUAAGCACCGGCUAACUACGUGCCAGCAGCCGCGGUAAUACGUAGGGUGCAAGCGUUAAUCGGAAUUACUGGGCGUAAAGCGUGCGCAGGCGGUUUUGUAAGACAGGCGUGAAAUCCCCGGGCUCAACCUGGGAAUUGCGCUUGUGACUGCAAGGCUGGAGUGCGGCAGAGGGGGAUGGAAUUCCGCGUGUAGCAGUGAAAUGCGUAGAUACGCGGAGGAACACCGAUGGCGAAGGCAAUCCCCUGGGCCUGCACUGACGCUCAUGCACGAAAGCGUGGGGAGCAAACAGGAUUAGAUACCCGUGUAGUCC